CUUCCUUUGUAUGAUUGCUCUGGCUAGGACUUCCAGUACUAUGUUGAAGAGGAGUGGUGAGAGUAGUCUCCUCGUCUUGUUCCAAUUCUCAAAGGGAAUGCUUUCACCUUUUCCCCAUUCAGUAUUAUGUUGGCUGUGGGUUUGUCAUAGAUGGCUUUUAUUACAUUAAGGUAUGUCCCUUGUAUGCCUAUUUUGCUGAGAGCUUUAAUCAUAAAGCAAUGCUAGAUUUUGUUGAAUGCUUUUUCUGCAUCUGUUGAUAUAAUCAUAGAGCCUAGAAAAUAUCACCUAGUGAAUAUCUACUUCCAUGAGGUGGAUAUUGAGGGAGAAACAGAAAAAUCCAAGACAAUCCCUUGUGGAAGAAAAUUCUCCAACCCAAAACUCAACCGAACUCAAAGGGCUGAACAGCGCGUCAAUUAAGACCUGUCAAAUAUAAUCACACGAUCUAAUAGUUUUAAAUACGCAAAAUAAAGAGCACCAAAGUAAAUGUCAUUCAGAAAUAACAACAACAAAACCAGAGCACCCCGAUGCAUUUAGGCCUCAAGGAAUUCCAAAGUAGUGUAUUAGGUAUAGUAAAUAUAUAUGUAAUUAGAAAUGUUUAGAGAAAUUAGAGAGAUGUGUUUUUUUUAAAAGAUUUGGCCUAUAAAACAGUUAACAAUUCCAGUAAAGAAGAAAACAGAAAUUCAAUGUUUGAUAUACAUACAUAAAAAUAAAUUUCAGGAAAAGUCCGUGUGAUAACAGAAUCCAAAUUAUAUAAAAGAUAGAAAUCUCAAUGUUUGUUUUUACACAUUUUAAGGAAAAAACAACCCUGAAAGCACAAAAUGCAGAAAAUACUGUUAAUAAGUCUUGAGUUUUCAAGUCCCUCUCACUGGCUUUGGCACUUAGAGAAGAGCUAGCACAGGCUCAGGAUCCCCUAAUGGGC
rnacentral:lncRNA from 1 species